UUGGAGGGCAAGUCUGGUGCCAGCGGCCGCGGUAAUCCCAGCUCCAAUAGCGUAUAUUAAAGUUGUUGCAGUUAAAAAGCUCGUAGUUGAAUUUCGGGAUUUAUCCGUCGGUCGGGCUUUUGGGUCUGUACUGGCGUGAUGGAUUCCUACCUUCUGAAUAACCGGCAUGUCAUUAAUUUGGUGCGCCGGGGAACCAGGACCAUUACCUUGAAAAAAUUAGAGUGUUCAAAGCAGGCUUUUGCUCGAAUACAUUAGCAUGGAAUAAUAAAAUAGGACGCGUGGUGCUAUUCUGUUGGUUUCUAGAACCGCCGUAAUGAUUAAUAGGGAUAGUUGGGGGCAUUAGUAUUCAAUUGUCAGAGGUGAAAUUCUUGGAUUUAUUGAAGACUAACUUCUGCGAAAGCACUUGCCAAGGAUGUUUUCAUUAAUCAAGAACGAAAGUUAGGGGAUCGAAGACGAUCAGAUACCGUCGUAGUCUUAACCAUAAACUAUGCCGACUAGGAAUCGGGCGAUGUUAUUUUUACGACUCGCUCGGCGCCUUACGGGAAAC
rnacentral:rRNA from 1 species